ACCAUCUCUGUCCGUAAAACGGACAAGAUUCCAUAGCCACCUUCAUCCUUACAAGUUACACCCACACAAAAUAUCUUCAACCAUUUCUUUUCUUUUUCCACCAUGGCCGUAAACUUAGGUAACCUAGCUUUAUUACUCCACAUUUCUUCACCGCAAAGGAAACCGAUUCUCACUUUACCGCUCAAGCGAGACUCUUCUUCUUCUACUACUACUACUACUUCAUGCUGCAGCUGUAGUUAUGGAUAUGAGGUGGUGGCGCGUGGACGUAUGGUGGUGGCGCGUGGGAAGUCAAACUCUGAGCAGAACGGUGUUGAUUUUGACGCGGAGUCGAGUGAUGAGGAAGUGGAUGGGAAUGGGAAUGAUUUUGAGAUGAGAAUAAGGAGGAGAGUGAAGGAUUUUGAAGAGAGGAGAGAGCUUGAGAAGAAAGCUGAAGAGUAUUUGCAGAGUCGUGUUGAUGAUGGAGUUGAAGAGAGUGAGGAAGAUAAGAGGAUGAGAGUUAGGAAAGAGCUCGAAAAGGUGGCUAAGGAGCAGGCAGAGAGGAGGGCCACGGCUCAGUUGAUGUUUGAUUUGGGUCAGAAAGCUUAUGGACGGGGCAUGUAUGGACGUUCUAUCGAGUUUCUUGAAGGUGCACUCACUAUCAUACCAAGAUCGACAUUAUUUGGUGGCGAGAUACAAAUAUGGCUGGCUAUGGCUUACGAAGCCUAUGGUCGCCAUGAUGAUUGCAUUGAUCUAUACAAGGAAUUAGAAAAGUCACACUCUAGUAUUAGCAUCCGGCGUCAAGCUGCAGAGCUUCGUUACAUUUUGGAAGCGCCAAAGCUCAAGAUAACCCAAGAGGAGAUGGUGACUAUACCCUUGAUUGGUUCCAGUUAUGACAGUUAUGCGAGUACAUGGACCGACAAAAACAAGGAUCGAAAGACUGGAUCGAUAACCAGUCCUUUUCCAUCAUCUAAAGAUAACCUUUUGGACUCUUUUGUGUGGAGACCACCUGCUGGACUAGGAAAAAAUCGAGCUUUCUGGGUUGGUUUGACAAUAUGGUUGGGAUUAGUUGGUGCUGUUCUCUUCAUUCAAAGAUGAAGUUCAAGUUCUCCAAUUUAUGAUGAUUCUGAUUGUGUUAUAAUUUUUCAUUUUAGUUCAUAGUGUAUAUAUAGAUCAUGUUGUAAAGAAUGAGAGGAAAAUUUGUAGAAGCCAAACCAAUGCCCUCACAAAUUUGUGGUCGCCUAUGUCCUCUCAAAUUCUAACAUGUUUUGGAAUUUUGCUCUAUCCAUGUAUAUCAGGUUCAAUUUCUUGAUCA